CACGUAGGGCGCAAGCGUUUGUCCGGAAUUACUGGGUGUAAAGGGCUCGUAGGCGGCCAACUAAGUCAGACGUGAAAUCCCUCGGCUUAACCGGGGAACUGCGUCUGAUACUGGAUGGCUUGAGGUUGGGAGAGGGAUGCGGAAUUCCAGGUGUAGCGGUGAAAUGCGUAGAUAUCUGGAGGAACACCGGUGGCGAAGGCGGCAUCCUGGACCAAUUCUGACGCUGAGGAGCGAAAGCCAGGGGAGCAAACGGG
rnacentral:rRNA from 1 species